UUAAUGUUUGAUGUUCUAACGUGGACCCGUAAUCCGGGUUGCGGACAGUGUCUGGUGGGUAGUUUGACUGGGGCGGUCUCCUCCUAAAGAGUAACGGAGGAGUACGAAGGUGCGCUCAGACCGGUCGGAAAUCGGUCGUAGAGUAUAAAGGCAAAAGCGCGCUUGACUGCGAGACAGACACGUCGAGCAGGUACGAAAGUAGGUCUUAGUGAUCCGGUGGUUCUGUAUGGAAGGGCCAUCGCUCAACGGAUAAAAGGUACUCCGGGGAUAACAGGCUGAUACCGCCCAAGAGUUCAUAUCGACGGCGGUGUUUGGCACCUCGAUGUCGGCUCAUCACAUCCUGGGGCUGAAGUAG
rnacentral:rRNA from 1 species